rnacentral:tRNA from 1 species
GGCUACGUAGCUCAGCUGGUAGAGCGCUUACCGCAUUGAGGCAUGCUGUGUCUGUCGUUGGUUCGAACCCAACCGAAGCCU